GUACCCCUCCCUGAAUUUUCAAUGUAACCCUCCUCAAAUACAGUCUGCAGCCCUCUUUCAGUAGUGAUACAAGCUGUCUGUAUCCCUUGUUCAGUGCUGUGUGUACCCCCUAACAUGAGGACAGCCUGUACCCCAUCCUGUAGCUUUCCAUCCCCCUAGCUUGCUAGAUCUCCACUCUUUUUCGGUUUGUCUCCUUGUCUCUUUCUAUGUUAGGGAUCCUGUCACACCCCCCACCCCCCUCCUCCCCUAAGCUAACUUUCCACCCUCCCCUUCCAUCCUUGUCUUAUCUCCCUCUUCACUCCAGCUGUC